UACGGAGGGGGCUAGCGUUGUUCGGAAUUACUGGGCGUAAAGCGCACGUAGGCGGCUUUGUAAGUUAGAGGUGAAAGCCCGGGGCUCAACUCCGGAAUUGCCUUUAAGACUGCAUCGCUAGAAUUGUGGAGAGGUAAGUAGAAUUCCGAGUGUAGAGGUGAAAUUCGUAGAUAUUCGGAAGAACACCAGUGGCGAAGGCGACUUACUGGACACAUAUUGACGCUGAGGUGCGAAAGCGUGGGGAGCAAACAGG
rnacentral:rRNA from 1 species